rnacentral:tRNA from 1 species
CGCUCUGAAGCUAAACUGGGCCUAGCGCUAGCCUUUUAAGCUAGAGAUGGUGCCUCCCAACCACCCAGAGCGA